AGAUGAGAUGAGUAUUCUAAGGCGCGUGAAAGAACUCUGGUUAAGGAACUCUGCAAACUAGCACCGUAAGUUCGCGAUAAGGUGUGCCACAGCGAUGUGGUCUCAGCAAAGAGUCCCUCCCGACUGUUUACCAAAAACACAGCACUUUGCCAACUCGUAAGAGGAAGUAUAAGGUGUGACGCCUGCCCGGUGCUCGAAGGUUAAGAGGAUGCGUCAGUCGCAAGAUGAAGCGUUGAAUUGAAGCCCGAGUAAACGGCGGCCGUAACUAUAACGGUCCUAAGGUAGCGAAAUUCCUUGUCGGUUAAAUACCGACCUGCAUGAAUGGCGUAACGAGAUGGGAGCUGUCUCAACCAGAGAUUCAGUGAAAUUGUAGUGGAGGUGAAAAUUCCUCCUACCCGCGGCAAGACGGAGAGACCCCGUGGACCUUUACUACAACUUAGCACUGCUAACGGGAAUAUCAUGCGCAGGAUAGGUGGGAGGCUUUGAAGUAAGGGCUU
rnacentral:rRNA from 1 species